GACGAACGCUGGCGGCGUGCUUAACACAUGCAAGUCGAACGGAAAGGCCCUGCUUUUGUGGGGUGCUCGAGUGGCGAACGGGUGAGUAACACGUGAGUAACCUGCCCUUGACUUUGGGAUAACUUCAGGAAACUGGGGCUAAUACCGGAUAGGAGCUCCUGCUGCAUGGUGGGGGUUGGAAAGUUUCGGCGGUUGGGGAUGGACUCGCGGCUUAUCAGCUUGUUGGUGGGGUAGUGGCUUACCAAGGCUUUGACGGGUAGCCGGCCUGAGAGGGUGACCGGGCACAUGGGGACGGAGAUACGGCCCAGACGGCUACGGGAGGCAGCAGUGGGGAGUAUGGCAGAGUGGGCGGAAGCCUGAUGCAGCAAUGCCGCGUGCGGGAUGAUGGCCGUCGGGUUGUAAACCAAUGUCGACUGUGACGAAGCGUGAGUGACGGGAAGGGGUAAGAAAGCAACGGAUAACUACGUG
rnacentral:rRNA from 1 species